GUUUCCUGUGUUUGUUUGUGUGCUUGGAGUUUGAUGUAUGUCCAGCGAUUGGCAUUCGGUUUCCUUGUUUGUGUUUGUUGCUUGGAGUCGGACGUAAGACCAGCCAUUGGCAGUCUGUUUCCAUUUGUGUGUUUGUUUUGACGUCUCAGCGUCUGUGCGUGUGUUUUGUUUCGGCGUGCAUGAGCCGAACUACGGUAGCUCUGAUUCUCAUUCCAGAUGAGAUACGUAGGCAUAGGAUGCGAUAUCCUAGCGAGCCCGUUUC
rnacentral:lncRNA from 1 species